rnacentral:rRNA from 1 species
GGCGAACGGGUGAGUAACACGUGAGUAACCUGCCCUUGACUCUGGGAUAAGCCUGGGAAACUGGGUCUAAUACCGGAUAUGACUUCUCAUCGCAUGGUGGGGGGUGGAAAGCUUUUGUGGUUUUGGAUGGACUCGCGGCCUAUCAGCUUGUUGGUGGGGUAAUGGCCUACCAAGGCGACGACGGGUAGCCGGCCUGAGAGGGUGACCGGCCACACUGGGACUGAGACACGGCCCAGACUCCUACGGGAGGCAGCAGUGGGGAAUAUUGCACAAUGGGCGCAAGCCUGAUGCAGCGACGCCGCGUGAGGGAUGACGGCCUUCGGGUUGUAAACCUCUUUCAGUAGGGAAGAAGCCCUCUUUUGGGGGUGACGGUACUUGCAGAAGAAGCGCCGGCUAACUACGUGCCAGCAGCCGCGGUAAUACGUAGGGCGCAAGCGUUAUCCGGAAUUAUUGGGCGUAAAGAGCUCGUAGGCGGUUUGUC